rnacentral:rRNA from 1 species
UACGUACUGUGCGAACGUUAUUCGGAAUCACUGGGCUUAAAGGGUGCGUAGGCGGCCAAUUAAGUAGGGUGUGAAAGGUUACGGCUCAACCGUGACAUUGCGCUCUAGACUGAUUGGCUCGAGUGAGAUAGGGGUGUGCGGAACUUCCAGUGGAGCGGUGAAAUGUGUUGAUAUUGGAAGGAACGCCGGUGGCGAAAGCGGCACACUGGGUCUUAACUGACGCUGGGGCACGAAAGCCAGGGGAGCGAACGGG